rnacentral:rRNA from 1 species
GACAGAGGGGGCAAGCGUUGCUCGGAAUUACUGGGCGUAAAGGGCGCGUAGGCGGGAUGGCAAGUCGGUCGUGAAAUCCUUCGGCUCAACCGAAGAACGUCGAUCGAUACUGCUGUUCUUGAGGGUUGCAGAGGAGACUGGAAUUCCCGGUGUAGCGGUGAAAUGUGUAGAGAUCGGGAGGAACACCGGUGGCGAAGGCGCCUUGCUGGCCGAUUUCUGACGCUGAGGCGCGAAAGCGUGGGGAGCAAACAGG